UAUGGACAUGGUACUGUGGUAUUGCAAUUGACGGUUACAUUUAAUUUAAAUAUAAGUGAAUCGCAACUUUUAAACAUUUUGAAAUCGUAUAAUAAUUAGGACUGUUAUUUCGUAGUUUCAUAUUACCAACCGCAGUUCUUGAACAUCAUUGUCAUGUUACAAUUUCUCUGAAUUGGGUAGUAUAAAACAAAAUCUACUGCCAUUUUGUCCAACUAGAUUGUCUGUAAGGGUUA